AGCUGUGUUGGGUAUUUGAGAAUGGUGACAGCACGACAUGAGGGUAUGACACUGUGGCAAUUGGUUAUACUCCCUUCUCUAUUUUGUAUUGUUGGAUAUAUUGACGUAUAAUGUGUGGGCAAUUUUUUCCUUGGUUCUUCAGGCUGCAUUGCAAUAGUUGGGGAGGUGUUGGAGAGGAACGGGAAUUGUACAACUGCAGUCUCCUGUAAUCAUCCUCCCUAAACUUUGGUGUGUCAUUUUUGCAUUUGUUGUACUGAACUGAUGUUUUAAUAUUGUAGUCCUCGGGUUUUAAUUAAUUCGGAAACCUAAAUUUU